CUUUUAGUGAUGCCUUUAUGAUCAUGGUGUUAAAUGGGAAGCCAGGACACUCCUGCACAAAUACUCGGUUAUUGAGGGAGUAGAGAUCGUCAGAGGAUCCAGCAUGCAACACAGAAGAAAGAGACGUCUCAUUGCCUUCAGGGAGAGUCUUCCUGCCGUUCAGGAUACUAAAUGCAUAUGUAAGUUUUUGACUUAGAGGGUCCCAUGCUUUUACAGACAAUGAAGACACCGCAGUACAGUAAGAAUCCUAAUUCUGA
rnacentral:lncRNA from 1 species